UCUGGGAUAGCGCCAUUAUUGAUUCGACUUUCAAACAGUUUGAAAAAUGCACGUAUGAAUGGAAGAAACUAUUUUAAGACACACAUACUAGUGCAUCUGUCUGGAUUUUGAUUGUCUAAAACAGUUCCGUUCAAUGUUUACAUCGAAAAAUGCAGUAUUUGUAUGAGUAAUGUAGAUAAAUGUGGACUCUGAGUAUGUGCGUUAAUAAACUGGAGGCAGCUUUGAAGAAUUGUACUCUCAAUAAACAAAACAAAACAAAAAAAAAAAAAAA
rnacentral:lncRNA from 1 species